GUGACUAGUGACAGAGUGAGGAAGGGGGUGACACAGUGACAGAGUGAGGGAGGGGGUGACUAGUGACAGAGUGAAGGAGGUGGUGACUGUCACUAGUCACCCCCUUCCCUCCCUCACUCUGUCACUAGUCACCCCUCCCUCUCUCUGUCACUAGUCACCCCUUCCUCACUUUGUCACUAGUCACCCCUUCCCUCCCUAACUCUGUCACUAGUCAC